AGCGAACAUUGGCGGUAGGCUUAACACAUGCAAGUCGAGCGAGGCGUAAUAGUCGAGCGGCGAACGGGUGAGUAAUACAUGGGAAUCUACCUCGAAGUGGGGGAUAACGUUCAGAAAUGGACGCUAAUACCGCAUAAUCCAUAUUGGGAAAGCGCGCUGCGCUUUGAGAUGAGCCCAUGGCUGAUUAGCUUGUUGGUGAGGUAAAAGCUCACCAAGGCGACGAUCAGUAGCUGGUCUGAGAGGACGAUCAGCCACAUUGGGACUGAGACACGGCCCAAACUCCUACGGGAGGCAGCAGUGGGGAAUCUUGCGCAAUGGGCGAAAGCCUGACGCAGCCUUGCCGCGUGAAUGAUGAAGGUCUUAGGAUUGUAAAAUUCUUUCACCGGGGACGAUAAUGACGGUACCCGGAGAAGAAGCCCCGGCUAACUUCGUGCCAGCCGCCGCGGUAA
rnacentral:rRNA from 1 species